rnacentral:rRNA from 1 species
UGCAAGUCGAACGGCAGCACGGAGCUUGCUCUGGUGGCGAGUGGCGAACGGGUGAGUAAUGCGUCGGAACGUAUCCAAUAAUGGGGGAUAACGCAGCGAAAGCUGUGCUAAUACCGCAUACGCCCUCCGGGGGAAAGCAGGGGAUCUUAGGACCUUGCGUUAAUGGAGCGGCCGACGUCUGAUUAGCUAGUUGGUAGGGUAAAGGCCUACCAAGGCGACGAUCAGUAGCUGGUCUGAGAGGAUGAUCAGCCACACUGGGACUGAGACACGGCCCAGACUCCUACGGGAGGCAGCAGUGGGGAAUUUUGGACAAUGGGCGCAAGCCUGAUCCAGCCAUUCCGCGUGAGUGAAGAAGGCCUUCGGGUUGUAAAGCUCUUUCAGGAGGGAAGAAACGAUUGUGGCUAAUACCCAUGAUUAAUGACGGUACCUUCAGAAGAAGCACCGGCUAACUACGUGCCAGCAGCCGCGGUAAUACGUAGGGUGCGAGCGUUAAUCGGAAUUACUGGGCGUAAAGCGUGCGCAGGCGGUUUUUCAAGUCUGAUGUGAAAUCCCCGGGCUUAACCUGGGAACUGCGUUGGAAACUGAAAGACUAGAGUGCGGCAGAGGGGGGUAGAAUUCCACGUGUAGCAGUGAAAUGCGUAGAUAUGUGGAGGAAUACCGAUGGCGAANGCAGCCCCCUGGGUCGACACUGACGCUCAUGCACGAAAGCGUGGGUAGCAAACAGGAUUAGAUACCCUGGUAGUCCACGCCCUAAACGAUGUCAACUAGUUGUUGGGGAGGGAGANCUCCUUAGUAACGCAGCUAACGCGUGAAGUUGACCGCCUGGGGAGUACGGUCGCAAGAUUAAAACUCAAAGGAAUUGACGGGGGCCCGCACAAGCGGUGGAUUAUGUGGAUUAAUUCGAUGCACGCGAAAA